UCGAGACAUUCCAUUCUACUUUCAGUGAUUUCUUGCAGUGAUUUCUUCAGUGCGCUCUAUUGUAUAUAAAGAACACGCUGCAGGCUAUUUGAUCACUAAGUUUGGCGUCAACAUAAAUUCAUGGCAUUUUCACAUUUUGAGGUGUGGUGGGUGUCUUCCUGCUUGAUGUGGCUAAACAGGGAGCAUAAAGAUUUCGCUGUCUGACACUUCAAAGGAUUGUUACCAAAAAGAAGGACGUGUGCUGGUAUCGGUGCAGACCUGCAUGCAGGGAGUGCGUGGGCGGGAUAGGAAGACAUGCAUGCAGUCUGUCCGCUGGACAUGGCUGGGUUUUGAAAGGCCACCUCUCAUGACCUUGGCUCCAGGUGAAAGUUCAGCAAUGAAGCCAUGGCCCAACAAGUGCAUUCUGGUCCAACGUUUUUGCAUCUUCAUUUCCUCAGCAAACGACAAGCAAACUCCAUAAGACCCACCCACGUUCCUGGAAUGUGCACUGUUGGAGCGGAAACGUGGCUGAGAACAACUGCUAUAGGAAGUGUUUCUGAGAAAUGUCAGAGGCCAUUUUAAUGCAUGAAGUGGAAAGGACCGACAGUAGGAGUGCCUAGCAGGAAUAGCAGUAGGCGUAACAUCCCACAAAGUGUAACUCCAUUCCUAAUCAAACGCACCUGAACCAGCUAAUCAAGGUGUUCAAGAUUACUUGAAAAUUACGGGUAGGUGUGUUGAAGUCGGCUUUAAAUUGAACUCUGCAGAUGGGUAGUCCUCCAGUGCCCUUGUCUGUUAUUGAGGUUUACAUCAUCAGCCUUCAUCAUGGGCACAACUAUGGUCCAACAGGUGGUGAUCAGAACUUGUGGAAGCACAACCAUCAGGCCUAUGCUUGUUUCCCUACAGCACCUUCUCACAGCUUGAGUCAUGUGAACUCUUUUCAGCUCCCACGGGCUUCACACACAGAGUGGCUGACUGCAGUUUCACGCACCAACAGGAAAGGAAAAACCUUAAAAAAAACCCUAGAUUAUAUAUUUGUGUAGUUCUCUGGGCUUUGAGUUUUAAAUCAUUGUUCUCCCACCAACUACAGCAGAUGUUUUUGCUUCUGCAGUGUUUUUUGAGGGGCACAAAGUGGGUGUGAGAGUAGAGUGCAAGCGUGAGAUUUCCCACCACCUGCAAAUGCAGCAUGGCCUCACUCAAAACAGGAAACACAGAUGAAAGCGAAUGAUUCAGAAAUAAGCGGCGUGGACAGCACCGACCUUAAACUAGAAAUGAGUAUUUUCAUCUGUUUUAGCUAUUUUGGACUGAGUGUAGAGCUUUGGAUUUUCAAAGGGAAACUUUCACAAAGAAAAACAGUUUCUGAAUGUUCAAUUUGACCUGCUGUUGAUACUUCUACAUUUGUAAGUUAUAUUUACCUUGAACCUCCUACUAGACAAUAUGCUCAAAUCAGCAAGUUUGAAAGAUCUUUGGUGUGACGUGAAUAACGCUUUUAAAAAGUCCCUAAGCCUAAUUAUUUAACUUUUAUAAUUUCGUUUGAGGGUGAAAACUUUCCCCAUGCACAUGGACAAAUAUCCCAGAGUACAUGGAGUGCAGGCCCCAGACUGACGGGACCAGAGAGGCCAGCCACUGAACAAGCACCUCUCUGACAGGAUCAGAGAAGCCAGCCACUGAACAAGGUCACCGAAUUCAUCUCGGUUCACUCAUCAAGAGCAAUGGCGACUCCCUUCCUGACGCCCGUGCACGUUGCAUGGCUCUGUAACACUGGCAAGUUACGGGUGUUUUCAGUGACCGCCAAAUGCCCAAUGCCCAAACCACUCAAGGGCAAGAUUUACAAGACCGUCAUACACCCGUUUGCAUUGUACAGUUCUGAGUGUUGGCCAGCCACCACCAAGCACAAGCAGACCCUGUCCUGCAGAGUUUAGCUCCAACUCUAAUUAAACACAUGAACUAGCCAAUCAAGGUGUUACUAGGCAUGCUAAAAACUUCCAGGCAGGUGUGCUGAGGCAAGCUGGAGCUAAACUCUGCAUAGUCUCGCAUAGCCAGACCUUCAGACUGACAGUGGAAGGUCUAGGCCAGGGGUCACCAAACUUGAUCCUGGAGGGUCAGUGUCCUGCAGAGUUCAGCUCCAAUUUGCCUCAACACACCUGCCUGGAAUUUUCUAGUAAGCCUAGCAAGACCUUGAUUAGAUGAUUCAGGUGUGUUUAAUUAGGGUUGGAACUAAACUCUGCGGGGCACCGACCCUCCAGGACCAAACUUAGUGAUCUCUGGUCUAGGGAACCUUGGCAUUGAAUAGCCAAGGCCCACCCAAGAGGCCAUAUGACUGACAUGUAAAGCAACCAAUAAUGUUUAGUUUUAUGCAGUGUCAUGUUUAGGGGUGUGAAAAUGUCCCCAAAAUAACAAACCGGUGUGUAACUCUUGGACAUAAUUCAGGGAUUCUAUGCCAUGAACUUUAAAUAUUUCACAUACUUUUGAAAAUCCAGCAUUUAGUUGAUCCUGAUAAGUGCUUAUCGUCACUGUUGUAAACAUGACAACUUUCUUCGUCCAUGCAGGGGUUUGGUGUCACUGCAUCUUUGUUUCCAGGCGGAACGUUAAAAAACGUGACACACACGUUUCCCGGAAAUUCUGUUGAAUUCAACCAAUCCAAUUAUGUCUUCAAAACUCCUCAAGUGUUUCCAAUUUGUGCAAUAUGCAUCAGGCGUUCAGCCAGCGGUCCGUGGAUGUGAUGUCUGAGGCUAAGACUAAACUCUGCAGGACAUCAGCCCUCCAGGACUGAGUUUGGAGACCCCUGCUCCACAGUAUGGAGACGAACAUGCUUCGUGGUCCCUCUGCCUCAUGCAACUGAACAAUGAUGUCCAAAGGCACAUGGGUGUGGCGCACAUAGUCGACAAAAUGCGCAAAGCCCGACUCCACCGGUAUUGCCUCGUCAUCAAGUGACAAUGAUUUUUUGGUGAAAAUGGCCUACCAACGAUCACCACCUGAACGACGACUGUGAGUCAGACAAAUUGUCUUGAUUGUCUGGCAGAGGACAUGCACAGUCAGUAUCAUCCAUGACGAUGCCCUGGACCGAGCCAAGUGGCGAAAGAUGUGCAAACAAGCAGACCCUGCACCAACGUGGGACACGUGGAAUAUUGUCCUAAAGGGUCAAUGCCCUUCAGAGUUUAGCUCCAACUUUGAUCAAAAACACCUGAGCAAGCUUAUCAAGGUCUUUAGAAUCUUUAGAAAAUCAAAAGUAGGUGAGUUUGAUCAGGGUUUGAGCUAAACUGUGCAGGGCAGCGGCCUUCCAAGACUGGAUUUGACGAACCCUGAGCUAGGAUGAAAAUGAACUUGAAAAAUUUCCCCAUGCAGAUUUUGCAUUAGGUUACAGAUGGUCGCAUGAAUUUGCUGUGCUGACCCAUAAACAGCUGCUUGGUCCUUUGUGCAUCACUACAUUAGAUACAUUAGGACUUUUUGGAGUAAUUAUCACCUGUCAGGCUAUAAAAACCCCUUAGACUUGACAUUGAAGAAAGGUGGCAUAUUAAAGGACCAGACUAUCACAAGAGACUCAAUGGGCUCUUUUGACAAAGAUCAGUCGCUCAACAACCAGAGCACCCUAGCAUUGUGGUCUCAACUUUUGCACUGGUCCUCAGCUCCUCGUAGGAGUUCUUGCACAGGAACCAGUUCCUCCGGGACUGCAGCAGGAGAAACGGGUCAAGCAGGCCAGGCAGAGAAAGAAAACAGCUCAGGUUGAUGAAGAACUCUCACCCGCAGGCAGAAACUACAUAUCCCCGCCUAGAAAGAGAAUACUGGGAUUCAGGGAAAGCUUUGUUCCCUAUGGAGAGAAAAAAAGAGUGUGUGAAAAUGUACUUCCAUGAAAGUGUGAGAACAGAGGCUGGAAAAACAUGUUGGUGCAUGCAACUCCCAGCAUGACUUUUAACAAACUGGAUUUAUGAAGUGUCAUGCUGCAUUUACCAAAAAUGUGGAUAAAUCUAGAUGGUGGCUUUGCUGAAAAUGUACCUACGAUUGUUUUCUAAUAAUGCAAUUUAUCUUGAAAUUAUAAAUUUGGUCAUAAUUAAGUUUGAUUGUUGAGGAAUAUGAUGAAGAUACAUAUAUACCUGGAGGAACUUUAGACCGUAGUGUAUUUUGAAAAUUUAAUGUGUAAAUACAUCACCCAUUAUUACAGUAAUUAUAACACAUAAAAAAUCUGUGGUUGAUUCAUCAGUGCAUAUUAAAAACUGGCCUACAUUGAAUUUGCAUUACUAAGACAACAAAAUUUCCCCAUGUGUACUUGUGAACUCUAAAAGAUUCUCUAUGCAAAUAUCCCACAUUUUUAUGCAAAUACUCAUCCUUUGGGAUAAACUUGUGUUAAGGAAGAAAAUGUCCCCUUCAGCAGAGAAUUUACAUAUGCGCUUCAUGUGCGGUUCUGUGUACAAAGACACCCAAACUCUCUCUGUCUCCUUUGAGAAAUGCUCUUGAAAAGAAAAACAAAUAUGUUCAGCGUUAGUGUUUUUAGGUAAAUCACAUUAAGACUGUUCUAGGCAAAUCUUUGCAAAGCAUCAAAACCGACCUCAGUUCUGGUCCAUGAAGACAUCUAAUCCUUCAAACAGGUUCAUGCAGACAGAUCUACCAUGCAGCAGUUAUCUGAGCUGCACUCUGGGAUAACUGAGUCUGUAAUAUUGCAAAGUGUUGACCCGGGCAUAGCGCCCAGGGUUGCUGCCAGACUCCAGACGCUCAGCACAGGUGGAAUGGGAGGAGGUGAGAGACAGCAAAUCUCUAAGAACUAGAGUUGUCAACAGGGCAUAACUUUGAAAUCUCUGAGAAAAUAAUGUGAACACCCAUAAUUAUAAAUAUCAUUUGUGAAAAAAACUCAUUUGUUAUCUAUUCUCUAGGUUCUUUAUCAGUGUAGUAUAAGUUGUGUCCAGCAAUGUUUCUUGGGUAAAAUGACUGACUUGCCAGACUUCCAAAGAAGAGAAAUCACGGGAACCCAUUUAGCAGAGCAUCUGUAACCAUAACAGCCUAAUUGUUUGGUGUUUUAAGAACAACAGUCUUUACGAUUAUGACUGCGUACACAAAGCAAGGCAAAACUUUACUCAACAAAGAAGAUGCGCGAAAACCUGAGGAUUCACCUUGAAGAGAGAACCUCACAAACCCAGCAUCCAUGAAAAGACUGGAGUGGAGCACCAAGAUGAACUUCAACAUCUGCCCUGGGCAAAUCAAUCGCCUGACUUGAAUAUUAUCAAAACCAAUGUGGGCAGUAUUUAAGAGAAGAGUGAGUAUUCAUUCUCAGACAUCUACAGUUCUACAGCAACUGGCAGAUACUUUUAUAGUCCAUAUUUCCCUCAAAUAUUGAAUGAAUAUACUCCAACAAGGUUGAAAACUGUAUCAAAGGAUUAGUUCAUUCCAGAAUAAA